UGGGGAAUUGUUCGCAAUGGGCGCAAGCCUGACGACGCAACGCCGCGUGGAGGAUGAAGAUCUUCGGGUCGUAAACUCCUUUCGAUCGAGACGAACGGCUUCCGGGUGAACAAUCCGGGAGAGUGACGGUACCGAGAGAAGAAGCCCCGGCUAACUCCGUGCCAGCAGCCGCGGUAAUACGGGGGGGGCAAGCGUUGUUCGGAAUUACUGGGCGUAAAGGGCUCGUAGGCGGCCAACUAAGUCAGACGUGAAAUCCCUCGGCUUAACCGGGGAACUGCGUCUGAUACUGGAUGGCUUGAGUUUGGGAGAGGGAUGCGGAAUUCCAGGUGUAGCGGUGAAAUGCGUAGAUAUCUGGAGGAACACCGGUGGCGAAGGCGGCAUCCUGGACCAACACUGACGCUGAGGAGCGAAAGCCAGGGGAGCAAACGGGAUUAGAUACCCGGGUAGUCC
rnacentral:rRNA from 1 species